ACCAUGAGACUAAUGAGCUGGUGAUGAUGUGGGUGAAUUGAAUUCUCUGAGUUCUUCCUGGAUGAUACUUUCAAGAUAAAGGAUCUUGGAAAUAUUCAUUACCUCCUGGUUUAGAAAUUACUCCUCAUCCACAAGGCUACCUUAUGUGCCAACAAAAGUUCACUUCUGACCUACUAACAGAAUUUCAUUGUGAAAAUUUCACUCAUGUUUCCACCCCUUUGGAUCCUAGGAUGCAAUUGGUUGCUGAUAUGGGAGAUCCCAUCUCUGAUCCUAGUAUCUACAGGAGGUUGGUUGGCAAGAUAAAUUUUCUUCAAAACACUAGGCCUGGCAUUUUUUUUUUUUCUGUUCAACAUCUCAGUCAAUUCUUACAAGCUCCACAUAGUGCUUAUAUGCUAACAGUUCUUCAUGUGUUGAGAUAUCUCAUGAAUGCUCCUGACCAGGGUAUUCUUCUAUCUGCUAGUUCUGAUUUAUCCCUUUUAGCAUACUCAGAUUCAGAUUGGGCUACUUGUGCUAUCUCUCGAAGAUCUAUAUAAGGUUUUUACAUCUCUCUUGGGGGCAAUCCUAUUUCCUGGAAGAGUAAGAAGCAGCCUACUGUAGCACUUUCAUCUGCUGAAGCUGAACAUAUGACAUUGAGAAUGGCUGUAACUGAGAUUUCUUGGCUUGUGCGAUUGCUUGGUGAUCUUGGGUUAACUAUCUCUGGGCCUGUAUCUCUUUUCUAUGACAACCAGGCAGCCUUACAUAUUGCCAAGAACACUGUAUUUCAUGAACGCACGAAGCAUAUUGAAGUUGAUUGUCCUUUUUUUCGUGAUAGUUUUAAUUCAGGGCUGAUUUCACUGUUUUAUGUCUGCAGUCUGCUCAGCUUGCCUACAUGUUGACCAAGCAUCUCCUGGUCCUCUACAUCAUCACUUUUUGUGCAAGCUUCGAGUAUUCACACCCUCCAGCUCGAGGGAGGGUGUUGACGGUAUUGAGCCUCAGCCACCUUAGCAUUUAGUUUAAAGACUUAUCCGGCCCAUUUGUAUAGUGACUGGAGAUUCCAACAAUAAGAAAAUAAAAGAACUCAUUUUCUUCUUCAUAUAUUUUCUACGCUUCUCUUUCUCUCUUUUCUCUCUCUUUUCUCUCAGAAUAGGUCUUAUAUUUUUCUCAAUUUCUUCUCAAUAAUGGAUUAACAC
rnacentral:lncRNA from 1 species